rnacentral:lncRNA from 1 species
UUUUUUUUUUACUGAUACAGAAGACAGGUUUAUACAUAAAACCAUGGGGAAAAUCACAAAAAGUUGCUAUGGUUGAGUAAAGCAAUUGUAACAAGGAAUGUCAGCAAAAGAGGGGGGAGAGAAAACUAAAAUUGCUACACUAAAACAUAAAAAGAUAUUUUGCUUUCUUAUUAAUUCAGUGAGACAGGUUCACGUUGUGGGACUGUUUCACUUUAUUUCCUGAAGUUGUUUUUAUUUCAAUACUACCACAUGUCUCUUUAACUUCUGGUGGUAUGGAAGAAAUGGCAUAAAGCUGUUUAAAAUGUUUACACUCUUGUAGAUGUAUUCUUUCAUGAGUUUGGCUGAAAAUCAGAAGAGUAGAAGCAGACUGGACAAGAUAUGGUAAUAUAUGAGCCAGGUUGCUUUUGAAAUUAGGUGGAAUGGGGAGAAAUGAGACCUAGAGACUAGGUUUCAUUGGAACUAUAUUGCACAUGCAUGAGGAAAGAGGAUGGGAGUGCACAGGAUAAGGCAUUCAGUUAUUUCUGCAAUACAAACCUUUCUAUUUUAAAGUAGGAUAGAAACUUCUCAUUUUCUCAUUGUCCUUAAGAUCAAAUCGGAUUUUGUUUAGUUUCAUAAUUUUAAUUGGAAUUAUACUUCUUAAUCUAUAAACUCUAGGGCUUAAAAUUUUGCAGUCACGAAUGAAUUUGAGGACAAAAGCCUGGAAGGCUCCAAUAGUACUGCUUCAUUUAGCUGCUUCACCUUGUAAUUUCUGCUUUUAUCUAUUUGUUUAAAAUUUAAAAGGAAGCAUAGAGUCGCUGAUACAUAAUAAUAUUUAAGGGCUCUACCAAAUUAUAUAAAUCAACUAAAAGGAACAUAAUUUUUAUUGUUAUUUUAACAAGUGAGAUUUUAUUAGAGCACUUUAUAAUAAUGCCAUAUAUCUCACUGAAUAUUUAUUAUCGGUUUUUGUUUAGGACUAUUUCAUACUCGUAUCUUUGUAUUUUGUUUUAUUCGUAAGCCUGCAUAUUUACCUCUAGAAUUUUCUGGUGUGUGAGUGUGUAUAUGUGUUUAUAUAUACUUCUCUAUACAUGCACAUAUAUGCGUGUACAUUGAGAGACAUGCGUAUAUAUGCACAUACACAUGUGUAUUUGACUGCAGACUUGACAUAGCAAAAAUCAGCACCCUUCUAUCACCAUUUGGGGAUUUUGUGAGAUUCCCAGCUACUUUUCAUACAACACAUGUAUAGCAUUCAUGUUUUGAGGGAAUGUUAGAAAGUCAGGAGAGACAUGUUAGUAACCUAACUACUGUAGUUUUUUGCAUGCAUUUUCAGUCAGUAAUUAUUUUUCUUCCAAAACCACCUGUAAGAGAACUGGGUUUAACUCUUGUUUGAAGAUAGAAGGUCUUUAUAAAUGAAUAAUUGAAUCAUCACGACAGUUUCAGUAUAUUGUAGCUAAAUAAUUCAGAAUUGUAUGUAAAUAUAAAUGCUUAAUAUAACAAUGCAAUAAACUUAAAAGCAACAUUGA